rnacentral:rRNA from 1 species
CAGUCGCCGCGGUAAUACGUAGGUGGCGAGCGUUGUCCGGAAUUAUUGGGCGUAAAGGGCUCGCAGGCGGUUUCUUAAGUCUGAUGUGAAAGCCCCCGGCUCAACCGGGGAGGGUCAUUGGAAACUGGGAAACUUGAGUGCAGAAGAGGAGAGUGGAAUUCCACGUGUAGCGGUGAAAUGCGUAGAGAUGUGGAGGAACACCAGUGGCGAAGGCGACUCUCUGGUCUGUAACUGACGCUGAGGAGCGAAAGCGUGGGGAGCGAACAGGAUUAGAUACCCCUGUAGUCCCUGUCUCUUAUAC